AUCUUUCUAAUAUUAAUUUAGUAUAUGUGGCUUCCAACCACACGGUCUUGGUUAAACCCCAAGGAAAGAUA
rnacentral:tRNA from 2 species